CGCGACUCCAACUGCCCACUGGCUGAGGCCUAGGAGGCGGGAGCGAGACGGCUCCGCCCGCAAAACAGCCCCACCUCCACAUUGGCCAAGGCUCGGAGAGGGGCGGGAUGUCCCUAAAUCUACUGGACCUGAAGACGUGUCCCAUUUCUGCGUGUUAGACAGCGGUGCUCUCUCUGUGGUUGAAGAUGAUUUCAGAGACCUCUGAGAGAGUAGUACACCCCGUGAUCAGCCUGCAGCUCCACUCCUCCACCAUGUCACCAUCACCCAGCUGGAGAAGCGCCAGGCCUGACGAAGAAGGUGCUUCCUGCAGGGAUCCAGACACAGAGGCCAAACACAAGUGCACCAGCAAGUCCUACCCUGUUCCUCAACACCGUUACAACCCAGCAAAUUGAUUCAUCAGUGGCCAGGAAGACCUGUUCCUUCUGUAAAAC